rnacentral:rRNA from 1 species
AGAGUUUGAUCCUGGCUCAGGACGAACGCUGGCGGCGUGCUUAACACAUGCAAGUCGAGCGGUAAGGCCCCUUCGGGGGUACACGAGCGGCGAACGGGUGAGUAACACGUGAGCAACCUACCCUCAACUUCGGGAUAAGCCUCGGAAACGGGGUCUAAUACCGGAUAUCACUCCCUGUCUCAUGGUGGGGGGUUGAAAGUUCUGGCGGUUGGGGAUGGGCUCGCGGCCUAUCAGCUUGUUGGUGGGGUAAUGGCCUACCAAGGCGUCGACGGGUAGCCGGCCUGAGAGGGCGACCGGCCACACUGGGACUGAGACACGGCCCAGACUCCUACGGGAGGCAGCAGUGGGGAAUAUUGCGCAAUGGACGAAAGUCUGACGCAGCAACGCCGCGUGAGGGAUGACGGCCUUCGGGUUGUAAACCUCUUUCAGCAGGGACGAAGCUAGCGUGACGGUACCUGCAGAAGAAGGACCGGCCAACUACGUGCCAGCAGCCGCGGAAUACGUAGGGUCCGAGCGUUGUCCGGAAUUAUUGGGCGUAAAGGGCUCGUAGGCGGUUCGUCGCGUCGGGAGUGAAAACUCGGAGCUUAACUCCGAGCCUGCUUCCGAUACGGGCGGACUGGAGGUAGGCAGGGGAGAGCGGAACUCCUGGUGUAGCGGUGGAACGCGCAGAUAUCAGGAAGAACACCGGUGGCGAAGGCGGCUCUCUGGGCCUUACCUGACGCUGAGGAGCGAAA